rnacentral:lncRNA from 1 species
GAGUCGGCUGUUUCAAACUGAGAACGUGUUCGCUGUUUGGCGUUCGCAACUUGAAAGGUAUCAGAUUGUUUUUAUCAUUUCCCUUGAAAAUGUAGUAAUUUGUUAAAAUAAUGCUAUUUAGCACCAGUCAUGCUUAGCACCUGUUCAGGUGGCGGUAUAGGCCCACCUAGAUGGCAGUAUAGGCCCACCUAGACUUGUCCAAGGAAAUUGUGAUGUAUUUUAAAUAAUUGGACAAGUCUGGCUAGAUUCCUUGCACAGACUGGUGCUAAAUAGCAUUACACAAUUUGUUGUGUGAUUAAUUGUGCUACUACAUUUGCCAGAUAUUAUUAGGCAUUUCAGUUGGUGUGCUUUGUGAAAAUUUGUUGUUUAGGCUGAGAUGUUCAUAAAUUGUUAGGAAAACAUGACCUUGACCACUUCUGUUGUAUCGAAACAUGCCUUGCCACGAGAAGAUGCCCUUUAAUGAAAAGGUAAUCCUUAUAUUUACAAUUCUCAAGCUGCAACUGCCAUGUCUGAAUUGCAAGCUCUAACUCGGUGGGAUUAUAAGCUCAUUUGCAAUUUGUAAUUUUUAUUACCCUUUUGUUAUACAUCUGUAAGUACCUGAAUCUUUAUUUCAUUGAUUUCUUGUAGUACCAGCUUGAAGUAAUUGAUGAAUAGCCUAUUUAUUAUUAUAUGCAUGUGAAAUGGGUAAAUUUUUAUGACAAUGUUUUUUGCAAUUCAUACACUCUGCAGAAAUUUCGAUGGAACAAAGAGAAGUGCAGAUAGGCCUUUGGUUUGCAUGUUUGGUAGGGACGAUGGCAUAAUAUUGGAUAUAGAAGUUAAAACCCUGUAUGUUUUAUGUCCAAUGUGUUGAGCAGGUAGUAUUCUGGUCAGACACAUAGUUUUCAACGUCAGUGGUGGAAAUAUAUGCUAUUUUUGUUCGACUAUGAUAACAGAUUCUGUUUGGAUACCAUGUUUCAAUUUUCCAUUGUUCUUCCCCCUCACCAGAGCAGCUAAGUAGUCACAUGGCUGUUCACAAGUAGGGGAGUCACAUGGCUGUUCACAAGUAGGGGAGGGAGGCAAUACGGGAUGAGGUUAGGAUGAAUGGAAUGAAGGUACUUUUCGGUUAUCA